GACAGAGGGGGCAAGCGUUGCUCGGAAUUACUGGGCGUAAAGGGCGCGUAGGCGGGAUGGCAAGUCGGUCGUGAAAUCCCUCGGCUCAACCGAGGAACGUCGAUCGAUACUGCUGUUCUUUGAGGAUUGCAGAGGAGACUGGAAUUCCCGGUGUAGCGGUGAAAUGCGUAGAUAUCUGGAGGAAUACCGGUGGCGAAGGCGGCAUCCUGGACCGGCAUUGACGCUGAGGAGCGAAAGCUAGGGGAGCAAACGGG
rnacentral:rRNA from 1 species